rnacentral:tRNA from 1 species
GCCGGAGUAGCUCAGUCGGUAGAGCGUUUCUUUUGUAAAGAAAGGGUCGUCGGUUCGAGUCCGACCUCCGGCU